AAACAGGGGAAGUUACAAAACAAUUUGUAAUGUGAGCUGCUGACAGAGAUACAGGAAACACAGAGCUGGAGCGGAGCAGAUCUCCUGUCGAAGAACAUCUCCAAAGCACCAUGAACCAUCUGACUAGGCAGUUCGUGAAGACGGAUAACCUGGACAGAAGUCGGUUCCAGAUCCAGCCUCCACACCAGACUUCUCACUCACAAGGAUUGCUGUCUACUAGAUAUUAUGUGUACUCUUCAGACUUAGGUUCAUGCAGAUAUUAUUCAGGGACAUGAACACUUGAAUACUGCAAAAAUAGAGAAACUACCUUAUUUAAGA